CUACAUGAGAGAGAAUGCCGGAAUGAGUAGCGAGAACUAUGUGAGAAUCAUAAUGGCCGAAAAUCUAAGGUUUCCUGAGGAAGGUUCGUCCGCUCAGGGUAAGCCGGGGGCUAAGGUGAGGCGGAAACGCGUAGCCGAUGCACAUACGGUAGAGAUUCCGUGGCCUCCGAAAAGUAAAGCACAGGGACGCUUCAGAAGUGUUACGCCGGGCGAUGGUAGCCCCGGUUGUAAAGGACACAAUUGAGUGGAAGGUAACAUGGAUGGAGACAAGAAAAGCUGUGUGUAACUGGAAGGAGCCCGUACCGCAAACCGACACAGGUAGAUAGGAAGAAGAUUCUAAGGCCAGCGGGAGAAGGGUUGUUAAGGAACUCGGCAAGUUGACCCCGUAACUUCGGGAGAAGGGGUGCUUACGAAGGUAAGCCGCAGAGAAUAGGCCCAAGCGACUGUUUAGCAAAAACACAGCUCUAUGCUAAAUCGAAAGAUGACGUAUAUGGGGUGACACCUGCCCGGUGCUGGAAGGUUAAGAGGAGAUGUGAGAGCAUUGAAUUGAAGCCCCAGUAAACGGCGGCCGUAACAAUAACGGUCCUAAGGUAGCGAAAUUCCUUGUCAGGUAAGUUCUGACCCGCACGAAUGGUGUAACGAUUUGGGCACUGUCUCAACAACCUACCCGGCGAAAUUGUAGUACCGGUGAAGAUGCCGGUUACCCGCGACUAGACGGAAAGACCCCAUGGAGCUUCACUGUAGCUUAAUAUUGAAUUUUGGUAUUUCAUGUACAGGAUAGGUGGGAGACUGGGAAAUACAGGCGUCAGCUUGUAUGGAGUCACUGUUGGGAUACCACUCUUGAGGUGCUGGAAUUCUAACCUGCGUCUUUGAAUCAAGACGGGGGACAUUGUUAGGUGGGCAGUUUGACUGGGGCGGUCGCCUCCAAAAGAGUAACGGAGGCGCUCAAAGGUUCGCUCAGCAUGGACGGAAACCAUGCCAAAGAGUGCAAACGCAAAAGCGAGCCUAACUGCGAGACUGACGGGUCGAGCAGUAACGAAAGUUGGAGUUAGUGAUCCGGCGGUAUGUGAGUGGAAAUGCCGUCGCUCAACGGAUAAAAGCUACCCUGGGGAUAACAGGCUGAUCUCCCCCAAGAGUCCACAUCGACGGGGAGGUUUGGCACCUCGAUGUCGGCUCAUCGCAUCCUGGGGCUGAAUUCGGUCCCAAGGGUUUGGCUGUUCGCCAAUUAAAGCGGUACGCGAGCUGGGUUCAGAACGUCGUGAGACAGUUCGGUCCCUAUCUGUCGUGGGCGUAGGAUAUUUGAAAGGAGCUGUCCCUAGUACGAGAGGACCGGGAUGGACGCACCUCUGGUGAACCAGUUGUCACGCCAGUGGCACGGCUGGGCAGCUAAGUGCGGAACGGAUAAACGCUGAAAGCAUCUAAGCGUGAAGCCGACCUUAAGAUAAGAUAUCCGCUCUUCGGAAUAAGACCCCUUGUAGACUACGAGGUUGAUAGGCUUAAGGUGUAAGCAUGGUGACAUGUUUAGCUUGCAAGUACUAAUCGGUCGAUUGCUUUU
rnacentral:rRNA from 1 species